rnacentral:misc_RNA from 1 species
AUGCCACAAUAUUCUCAACUCAUAACCAUCAUCUUUCUACUUGCUCAUUUUCUCACCACUUCAAACUGCUCCAGAAUACUAUUUUUGAAUAUGUUCAACUCAAAGAGCCACGCACUAACAAUGAUGCCGUUAGCCGAGAGAUUAUUCGACGAUGGACAUGAUGUGUCGAUGUAUACCAUAAGUGCGAAUCGGUUGAAAAUUCCAUCGAAAAAAGUGAAAAUUUUGGAGUCUCUUGUGAAGGGAAGUAGUACGGAUGACGCAGCACCAGACACGGGCGGUGUGAGCAGAAUAUUCUGGAGUUAUGAAAUGACACCGUAUGUUGGCGCAUGGUGUUAUGAAAUCGGUCUGUACUAUUUGGAAGAAGGAAGAGAUGAACAACUAGAUGAAGUUCUUGCAACACCGUACGACCUGGCAGUUGUUGAUGAAACUUACACAUCACUUCAAGGAUCAAUUGCCCUAAAAUUGAAAGAAGAUCAUAGCACAAAGAUCAUAACAUUUGCAACGACAGAACUAAUGCCAGUUGCUUCAAAUAUGAGGGGAUAUGCAAGGAAUCCGGUGACUGUUCCGAACACAUUUCUGUUGUCGUCGGAGGUUUAUGAAGGAAAUCGGUUUGCGUUCUUGACAAGAACUAGGAGAAUAUUUGAAUAUUUUAUUGAUCAGAUUUACAGUGGACCAGUUGCAAGUCUUUACAGUGAAGCGUCGGGAAAACUACUUGGCCUAACCAGUGCGACCAAAAGCAAAACUUUUCAAAACUCGAUACUCACUGUCAAUGAUUUCCCGGAUACAUUUAGUUUCGUUCAACCACGUGGAAAUGAUUUAAUUCGAGUUGGAGAACAUUGUUAUUCAAGUGCCAAUUUACCAUCAGAAUUCAGAGAUUUCGUGGAGGAUUCAAUGUCAAAAGGUAACCGGUGCAAAAUGUCACGUAAAAUCGGUUAACUGGGCUCCUCAAAAAGAGCUUCUUGCUCAUGAGAAAACGGUAGCUUUCAUAACACACGGUGGCCUAAAAAGUGCAAAAGAAGGUGUCUGCUCGGGUGUUCCAAUGCUUUUCCUACCAUUUUACGGUGAUCAACCAAGAAAUGCACAUCGAUUUGUAACCAAUGGAAUAGCGGAGGCUCUUUACAAGAAAGCAAUAACAUCAUUGGAUAUUCAACAAAAAUUGGAGAAACUUCUCGUGGAUCCCAGUUAUAAAAAUAAUGUGAUGAAGGUCCUAUCCUAUUACCUCGACGCUCCGAUCAGUUCUCUAGACCUCGGUGCUUUCCAUAUCUCACAAGUGCUCCGCCGUACAGAGUCACAAUACAGCAAAUUCAAACGAAGAUCUAUUUUUAUGAAUCACUUACAGUAUCUCAAUCUUGACAUUUUCCUGGUUAUUCUUGUUAUUUUAUUUAUUGUUUCUAAAUUUUAA